GACGAACGCUGGCGGCGUGCCUAAUACAUGAAAGUCGAACGCAGUUGCGAACGGGUGAGUAAAGCGUAGGUAACUGCCUCAUAGCGGGGGAGAACUAUUGGAAACGAUAGCUAAUAACGCAUAAUGUGAGAGAGAACUGCGUUGUAUUAGGUAGUUGGUGAGGUAACGGAUUGCCAAGGCAACGAUACAUAGCCGACCGGCGAGGGUCAUCGAGCACACUGGUACUGAGACACGGCCCCGCCGCCUACGGGAGUAAGACGUAGGGAAUCUUCGUCAAUGGACGGAAGUCUGACCGCGCAACGCCGCGUGAGUGAAGUAGGUUUUCUGAUCGUAAAGCUCUUUGUUUAGUGAAGCGUUAACUAACCAGAAAGGGACGGCUAACUACGUGCCAGCAGCCGCGGUAAUAC
rnacentral:rRNA from 1 species